UGAGCAAUCUGCCCUUCUCAUCGGAAUAAGCGUUGGAAACGACGUCUAAUGCCGAAUACGACCUCCUUUCGCAUGAUCGGAGGUGGAAAGCUCCGGCGGAGAAGGAUGAGCUCGCGGCCUAUCAGCUAGUUGGUGUGGGUAAUGGCCCACCAAGGCGACGACGGGUAGCUGGUCUGAGAGGAUGGCCGGCCACACUGGGACUGAGAUACGGCCCAGACUCUACGGGA
rnacentral:rRNA from 1 species